UACGUAGGGCGCAAGCGUUAUCCGGAAUUAUUGGGCGUAAAGAGCUCGUAGGCGGUUUGUCGCGUCUGCCGUGAAAGUCCGGGGCUCAACUCCGGAUCUGCGGUGGGUACGGGCAGACUAGAGUGAUGUAGGGGAGACUGGAAUUCCUGGUGUAGCGGUGAAAUGCGCAGAUAUCAGGAGGAACACCGAUGGCGAAGGCAGGUCUCUGGGCAUUAACUGACGCUGAGGAGCGAAAGUGUGGGGAGCGAACAGG
rnacentral:rRNA from 1 species